GGAGAUUGAAGGCGCUUGUAUUACAGAGCAGAAGUGACAUCUGCUGGAGCUCCAGAAGAUGACAGCUGAACUCUGUUGAAGGAAAACAAGGAAUGAAUCUGAUCAAACACAGGUUACAGAAAGGGAAAUUGCCUACAAAGGGUCAUAUUAAUACAAAGGAUAAGAAUAACCAUAGGAAGUAAUGGGAGCUCUGUGAACAGCCUUAGGAAAUAAUAGGAGCUGAGAAAAGAUUACUGCCCUGAAUAGGCUUCAUUGAAAUCAGUGGAAACUCUACAGGGAAUAAAUAAAGCAUGGAAUGGAUUCUGAAAGGAAGCAGAAGGGGUCCAAAAAUAUUGAAAUACGUUUGUGUUACUCUUGCUGCCAGAUGAUUUUAAAUUUCCUUCCUAUUAAAAUGUUCUACUACAAAUA